rnacentral:lncRNA from 1 species
GAAGAGCUCACAGACUCAUGAAGAGAGGAGAGGAUGUGAAGAUGUGUGGAGACGGAGGCAGAGAGUGGAGUGAUGCGGCCAUAAACCAAGGAAUGACAACAGCCACCCAGGAGCUGGAAGAGUUCCCUCAUGUGAGAAUAGAAAGAUGUUUCCAUUGGUUUUUACAUGAUUCAAGUCUCUGUUGCAGAAGUAUAUCUCCAGCCCCGUGAGCAAUGUAUCCUUUCCAAAGCACUGCUAAUUCAUAUGGAAUGUCGAGCUGAGGUUUCUCCGUAUGAUCCUUGAGGUUGGAAUUGUGAUAUGUGAAUUUCCUAUGAAGAA